rnacentral:rRNA from 1 species
ACUCAAAUGAAUUGACGGGGGCCCGCACAAGCGGUGGAGCAUGUGGUUUAAUUCGACGCAACGCGCAGAACCUUACCAGGGCUUGACAUGGGAAGGACAGGACGAGAGAUCGUCCCUCUCCAGCAAUGGAGCCUUCCACACAGGUGCUGCAUGGCUGUCGUCAGCUCGUGUCGUGAGAUGUUGGGUUAAGUCCCGCAACGAGCGCAACCCUCGUUUCCAGUUGCCAUCAUUCAGUUGGGCACUCUGGAGAGACUGCCGCGAAUAACGCGGAGGAAGGUGGGGACGACGUCAAGUCAUCAUGGCCCUUACGUCCUGGGCUACACACGUGCUACAAUGGGCGCUACAGAGGGUCGCAAGAGCGCAAGCUGGAGCCAAUCCCCAAAAGCGUCCUCAGUUCGGAUCGAGGUCUGCAACCCGACCUCGUGAAGGUGGAAUCGCUAGUAAUCGCGGAUCAGAACGCCGCGGUGAAUACGUUCCCGGGCCUUGCACACACCGCCCGU